UACAGGGGGGGCAAGCGUUGUCCGGAAUUACUGGGCGUACAGCGCGCGCAGGCGGUCCACUACGUGCCGUGUGACAAACGUCGGCUUAACCGACGGAGGCCAGGGUACACGGGUGAACUUGAGGCAGAGAGAGGGAUGUGGAAUACCCGGUGGAGCGGUGAAAUGCGCAGAUAUCAGGAGGAACACCAAAUGCGAAGGCAGCUCGCUGGGACGUUACUGACGCUGAGACGCGAAAGCGUGGGGAGCAAACAGG
rnacentral:rRNA from 1 species